UACGAGGGGGGCAAGCGUUGUUCGGAAUUACUGGGCGUAAAGGGCUCGUAGGCGGCCAACUAAGUCAGACGUGAAAUCCCUCGGCUUAACCGGGGAACUGCGUCUGAUACUGGAUGGCUUGAGUUUGGGAGAGGGACGCGGAAUUCCAGGUGUAGCGGUGAAAUGCGUAGAUAUCUGGAGGAACACCGGUGGCGAAGGCGGCGUCCUGGACCAACACUGACACUGAUGAGCGAAAGCCAGGGGAGCAAACGGG
rnacentral:rRNA from 1 species